ACAAGGAACCUGACCCGGCCCUCUGGUGGGCCUGGCGGUGCGCGGCGCACACUGGCGUUCCUGGCCCUUAGAAAGGUCUAAGCCUGGGGCCUCCGGUAUCCCUGAGAUUUCCCUGAGUGGGAAGAUGAGCUCCCAGAGAGCAGGGCUCCAAGUGCGGACUGGGCAGGAGGGGCCCCUAGUGAGCAGAUGUCUCCCACACCUAAGCUUGGAACAGUCUCCUGGCCACUCAUUUUGCUCAGUAAAUGGCUACCCUUCCUGCUUCCUGUCUAAACAGAUGUAGUCUCUGAGUUGU
rnacentral:RNase_P_RNA from 1 species